AGUACUAAUAUGCUGCUAGGAUUGCUCCUUGAAGCUAGGGAAUGGGGGAGUGGGGAGGACAAUGUUCUAUAAUAAAUAAAGUGGGCAUAUCAGAACUGACACUGGAGAAGGCGUCAUAAAGCUCAAAAUAUAAGGUAUGUGGAAAUGUGAGAAUGGAGUUUGAUAUGGUUUGGAUCUGUGUCCCUGCCCAAAUCUCAUGAUGAAUUAUAAUCCCCAAUGUUGGAGGUGGGCCAGAUGGAAGGUGAUUGCAUCAUGGUGGUGGAUUUCUCAUGAAUGCUUUAGCACCAUCCCCCUUGAUACUGUUCCCGUGAUAGUGAGUGAAUUCUUGCAAGAUCUGGUUGUUUAAAAGCGUGUGGCACCUGCCACCCCGCUCUCUCUCUUGCUCCUGCCCUGAGCAUGUGAUGUGCCUGCUCCCAGUUUGCCUUCCACCAUGAUUGUAAGCUUCCUGAAGCCUCCCCAGAGGUCAAGUAGAUGCUGCCAUGCUUCCUGUACAGCCUACAGAACCAUGAACCAAUUAAACCUCUUUUCUUUGUAAAUUACUCAGUCUCAGGUAUCUCUUUAUAGCAACGCGAGAAUGACCUAAUACAAAGUUACAACGCGGGACCAGAUCCGUUAGACCAUGGAUCCAAACCAUAUCAAGCUACCUCCUGACCAUGCUCCCUGGGAAGGCUAAGAAGACAUUCCUUCACCAGGGGUGCAAUGUUUCUUCUGGACAAGAUGAAAAAGACCUUACUGAAAACGCAAAAUUAGGCAUGAGAAAAACUUCUGUUCCCCCUCCUGACGCAGUGAUAAGGGAAUUCUUCAUGCUCUACAAUGGAAGAAAGAACAGGCUUGUGAGCAGCCAGUGCAUCGCUAUAGCUGCAUCAUCACAGGCAGUAAGAACAUUUGGAUUGUGUCCUUUCUCUCCCAGUUACACCUCACAGUUUCCAACAGGUUUGGCCACUGCAACCUCCUCAUGGCAAAUUGGCCACAACAUGGCUGGAGAACAAGCAGGCGAGGAGGAGUGUCAGAUGGAAGGCCUUCUGCAAAUGGGCAGCCUACAGAACUGUGAUGGGUAGGAGCCAGGCUUGGAUGGAGCCUGUGUCUGUGUGGACCAGCAAAGCAGUUCCAUGUCACCAGGUGCAGGGCUACAGGGUCUUCUGUCCUGUGCUGUGCAUCUUGAUGACCUAGGCCUGAAGGUCACAAGGACAGCACAGUGAGGACUUAAGCACCUGGAAAAAUCAACAUGCAGCGAGCUCACGUUUCACAACAUCUUCUGGUCCACCAACUCUCCCAAGAGGAAUUGUCGUUGGAAGAAUGCACUUAACGUUUGUUCAAAUGUUUUUGUUUUUGUUUUUUUUUGUCAGGGGAGGCAGACGGAGUCUCACUCUGUUACCCAGACUGGAGUGCAGUGGUGCGAUCUUGGCUCACUGCAACCUCCACUCCCCAGGCACAAGUGACCCUUCUACCUCAGUCUCCUGAGUAGUUGGGACUACAGGCAUGCAACAUCAUGCCCGGUUAAUUUUUGUAUUUUUAGUGGAGACAGGGUUUUGCCAUGUUGCCCAGGCUGGUCUCGAAUCAUGACCUCAAGUGAUUCACCUGCCUCAGCCUCCCAAAGUACUGGGAUUACAGAUGUGAGCCACCGAGCCUGGCCAAAAGAGAUUUAUUAUUAUUUUUUUCUCUGGGUGGUAGAAAUGCCAGUGGUUUUAUUUUCUUUUUACUGAUACACAUUUUCUGCAAUGGUAUGGUAUUAAUUGUGUUAAAAAACAAAAACAAAAACAAAAAAAAACAAGAAAUGAUAAAAGGUGUUUUUCAAAGGACCCCAGUCCCAUUUAUAAGGCAAAUAAUGGGACUGGGGUCCUUUGAAAAACACCAUCAAUCAUUUCUUUUUUUCUUUCUUUCUUUCUUUUAUUACACUUUAAGUUCUGGGAUACAUGUGCAGAACGUGCAGUUUUGUUACAUAGAUGUACACGUGCCAUGGUGGUUUGCUGC
ensembl:lncRNA